rnacentral:rRNA from 1 species
GUGAGGAAUAUUGGUCAAUGGACGAGAGUCUGAACCAGCCAAGUCGCGUGAAGGAAGACGGUUCUAUGAAUUGUAAACUUCUUUUGUGCAGGAAUAAAGUGGGUUACGUGUAACCUUUUGUAUGUACUGUACGAAUAAGGAUCGGCUAACUCCGUGCCAGCAGCCGCGGUAAUACGGAGGAUCCGAGCGUUAUCCGGAUUUAUUGGGUUUAAAGGGUGCGUAGGUGGAUUGAUAAGUCAGCGGUGAAGGUUUGCAGCUUAACUGUAAAAUUGCCGUUGAAACUGUCGGUCUUGAGUGCAAAUGAGGUAGGCGGAAUGUGUUGUGUAGCGGUGAAAUGCUUAGAUAUAACACAGAACUCCGAUUGCGAAGGCAGCUUACUGGGAUGCAACUGACACUGAUGCACGAAAGCGUGGGUAUCAAACAGGAUUAGAAACCCGAGUAGUCC